ACUGGUAAUAAACUUGGGGAAGUAGGAAGUUCCAAACCAUCAUCAAUUUCUUUCCCAAAGAUGUCGCCAGUGAAAAUACAACCUAUAGAUCCAUAUCAGUUUUGUGAACCAAUUUUAAAAUACUGCACAAAGAGUAAUAUGGUACAGAAGGAUCAGUUUUUUAACAGAACAGAAUAUGACAAGAGGAGAGUGAAUAAAGAAGUACUCACUCUGAUCAAAAGAACAGCAGAGGCAAUCAAAAUUAUCCGGUCGCAACAUGAAGAAUGGAAGAAAAACCAGCAAUAAAGGGGAUCCAGGUUACGUACCGUGUGGAAAAAAAGCAAAAAUUGUGUUCAACUUGUUGUCAGGCAGCUUGUAAAUGUAAUGGGAAAGAGAGUUGAUUAAAUUCAAUUCAAUUUAAAUUAAAUUAUUUAAUAAAAUGUUAAU